AAAAAGACAAAAUUGUAAGCGACAGCUUUUACUCAAAAGUUAUGAAUAAACAUUUCUAUCAUUUAGCUUAUUUGCUUUCACUUCUUACUGAUUAGAGUUCCGUGUUGCAUACUUAAGGCAUGGUAUGGGCUUGUCCCAUAAUUAAUUCCUUUUUAAAAUCUACAAGGCUGUGCCUCUUUCUGAGGUUAAAAGUAAAAAUUCUGAAUACAUACAGAAAAAUGAACAUGCCUAUAUCUCUAUUAUAGAAUAUACAGAUGAACACUUGAAAUU
rnacentral:misc_RNA from 1 species